rnacentral:lncRNA from 1 species
GAGAGAGAGACCUUGAGCAGCGCUGCGCGCGUCCUCAGCUCUGCGAGCCCCCUCUGGAGCGGCGGGGAGGCAAUUAAAAUGAAGACUGUUUCCAUGCGGGCCCCCGUGAAAGGGAUUCCUGUGUAUCUCAAGCAACAAAGAGAGCUGUGGAGCAAGGAGAUUCCCUGUGUAAUCGGGAGCACUGGAUGUGAAUCCCAGGUCUGGCAUGGGAACCUUGGUGAGUGAUGCUGAGUGGAAUGUUACGUAUCACCAUCAUCAUCAGCAUCCAUCCCACCACCAUCAUCACAACCACCACCACCACCAUCAUCAUCAUCAUCAUCAUCAACAGCUUUUUCCAAGCAAGUCUGGAAUAAGAAGAGAAGUCGGAGGAUUUAGGCUUUGUACUUCCUGGCAGCCCCAGCCCCUGAGGCUCAUGCGAUCCUGCUCACCUUCUCUCCCUGACCCCGAACCCUAAGGGGCUCCCGCACUCCAGAUCGUAGCUGGCUCUUCUCUAUUCUUUUCCUUAUUCCAGCCAUUAGAGUCUUUUGGGACUGGCUUCUCAACCUUUGUCACAUUGGGCUUGAUAUUUUUAGUUUCUUUCAGUGGUAAAUAUUAGAUUAUUCAGAAAAAUUGUUGUCCCAGAUUUCCACACAUGAUGGUAUAGAUACAGAAUAUACACUUAUAAAAUAAGCAGAAAUGAUAUCUCAUGAACAUUUGCUAGAAUUGAAAUAGAAGAGGUGCAGGCAGCAUCCCCAUAGCUUAAAAAUGAUCUGCUAAGAUGUGGGCAUGACUUUUCCCCACAAAACUUGCCACUCAUUUGAUAUUAUAGUGCGGGGGAAUAGUCUUCCUGACAUUUUAGUGGUUGUUAUUGCUGUAUUUUUUUUUUAGGGCAUAUUUUUUUAAGGGGAGAAAAUGAAGAAUAUGUAAGGAAAAAAAUCAGUACUUAGCUGGGUUACCUUUUAUUCUUAGGACAUUUACUUGUUAGCAUUACAGUCUUAAAAUAGUCUUCUACCAAAUACAUUACCAACAGGCAUUUCCAAAAUGCUGAGAGUACUCUAUCUAGUCUCAAAUUCUCAAGUUCAAAAAAAUGGAAUGCCAGUUCCUCCAUGGGCUGACACAGCCUCAUUAUUAUGGCCAUAUUUAUUUACUUAUUUAUUGUAGUAAAAUAUACAUAAUAUAAAAUUCAUCAUUUAAACCAUUUUAAGCAUACAGUUCAGUGCCUUUAAGUACAUUCACAUUGUUAUAUAAUCAUCACUACUAUCCAUCUUCAAAACUUUUUUUAUCUUCUGCAAUGAAAACUAUGUACCCAUUUAAUAAUAAUUCCUAAUUACCCCUACCCUCUGCCCGUAGCCACCACCAUUCUACUUUGUGUCUCUAUGAAUUUAACUACUGUCAGUACCUUAUGUAAGUGGAUUAGCGCCAAAUUUGUCUUUUUGCGAUUGGCUUAGUCACUUAGCAUCAUGUCUUCCAGGUUCAGUCAUAUUGCGGCAUAUGUCAGGAUUUUCUUCCCUUUAGGGUAACACUUAUUGAGCUCUUACUGCCUACCAGGCCUUGUGCUAUGCGCUUCAACAGACCUCACAAUCACCCUAUGAGGUAGGGAGUCUCACUAACUCCAUUUCACAGAUGAAGAAACUGAAGACAGGAAUGUUUAGAAAGCUGCCUGAUAUGGUUUAGCUCUGUGU